rnacentral:tRNA from 1 species
CAUUAAGAAGCUUUCAAAAUAAGCAAUAGCCUUUUAAUCUAUAGAUCGGCGAUUUAACCCGCCCUUAAUGA